GAUGAAGAACGUAGCGAAAUGCGAUAAGUAAUGUGAAUUGCAGAAUUCAGUGAAUCAUCGAAUCUUUGGACGCACAUUGCGCCCGCCAGUAUUCUGGCGGGCAUGCCUGUUCGAGCGUCAUUUCAACCAUCAAGCCCCCGGCUUGUGUUGGGGACCUGCGGCUGCCGCAGGCCCUGAAAACCAGUGGCGGGCUCGCUAGUCACUCCGAGCGUAGUAAUACAUCUCGCUCAGGGCGUGCUGCGGGUUCCGGCCGUUAAAAAGCCUUAUUUACCCAAGGUUGACCUCGGAUCAGGUAGGAAGACCCGCUGAACUUAAGCAUAUCAAUAAGCGGAGGA
rnacentral:misc_RNA from 1 species